rnacentral:tRNA from 1 species
GUUACUUAGGCGGAAUAGCGCAUCAGGUUUAGAUUUUGAAUAAGAAAUAGUUUUCAGGUAACG